UGUGGUCGGCGGUGGUCUGCGAGCCAGUCUGCGCUGAGAGCUGCCGCCCUUCGACCCGCGCUGCGCUCUCGGCCCCUGCGGCCCCGCCCGCCGGCAGCGCCACGUCAUGCCGGGCGCUGCUACGCUAUAGUGCCCGGGCCGCCGCCCCCCGCUUGCCCGCCCGUCAGCCUGCCCGAAGCCUCGCCCACUGCCCAGAGCCAGAGGGAUGGUGGUAGUCACGGGGCGGGAGCCAGACAGCCGUCGCCCGGACUGUGCCAUGUCCAGCUACGACACCGAGGACGACUUUCUGGAGCCGGCCACCCCGACGGCCACGCAGGCGGGGCACGCGCUGCCCAUGCUGCCCCAGGAGGCCUGGCUGAGAGUGCUGGUGGUUCCUUCCCAGUUCCCUGAGGUUGUCCCGCUGAACAUUGGAGGGGCACACUUCACCACACGCCUGUCUACCCUGCGGCGCUGCGAAGACACCAUGCUGGCAGCCAUGUUCAGCGGGCGGCAUUACAUACCCACCGAUGCUGAGGGCCGGUACUUCAUUGACCGGGAUGGCACGCACUUUGGAGAUGUGCUGAAUUUCCUGCGCUCAGGGGACCUGCCGCCGCGGGAGCGUGUGCAGGCUGUGUACAAAGAAGCCCAGUAUUAUGCCAUUGGGCCUCUCCUGGAGCAGCUGGAAAACAUGCAGCCACUGAAGGGGGAGAAAGUACGCCAGGCAUUUCUGGGACUCAUGCCCUAUUACAAAGACCAUUUGGAGCGGAUUGUGGAGAUUGCCCGGCUGCGUGCAGUGCAGCGGAAGGCCCGCUUUGCCAAGCUCAAGGUCUGUGUCUUCAAGGAGGAGAUGCCCAUCACCCCCUAUGAGUGUCCGCUUCUCAACUCCCUGCGCUUUGAGCGGAGCGAGAGCGAUGGGCAGCUCUUUGAGCACCACUGUGAAGUGGAUGUGUCGUUUGGACCUUGGGAGGCUGUGGCUGAUGUUUAUGACCUGCUGCACUGCCUGGUCACAGACCUCUCGGCCCAGGGCCUCGUCGUGGACCACCAGUGCAUCGGGGUGUGUGACAAGCACCUCAUCAACCACUACUACUGCAAGCGCCCCAUCUAUGAGUUCAAGAUCACAUGGUGAGUUUGACAACUUUCUGGCUGAGUGUCCUCAUGAAGAUUCCUUCGGAGUCACUUCAUGAACAGCCCACAAAGCCUACAGGUCUGACCACCCCAGAUGUGCUGUGCAACCUGACCAUGUGAAGAGGUAUGCCUGGGGCCACAGCCCUUCUUCAGGUAUGCCUAGCACCAAGAGAGUAACUGAUGGGAGCUCUUCAUGUCAGGGCACAUUGUGUGCCUGGCUUGGGGCCCAUGGUCCUUGUAUUCUGGGUCUCUACCCUGCCUGUGUGUCCCUUUGUCUUCAUUUUGAAGAUGACUUCUUAGCUGGCUUUACUUUUCAUUUUCAUUUGUUUAACUUACAAGCAUGCUCCUUUAGCUUUUGUUUACUUACCUUUAACCUUCUAUCCUUUCAUUCCUUACCAUUUUGUUUUUCUUGUCAUGUAUUUCAGCUUUCUCUAUUUUUUAAACAUGAUUUUAAACUUUAUUUCUAAAAUAACAUUUUAAUAAAGUAAUGUAUGAACAGGAUGCCAGUGAAGGUAGUUCUUGUUCUAAACAAUAGUAAUUAUGUGCUUUUUUUUCUUCUUCAUUCAUUUCUACAGUGAUCUUAGUAGCCAUGAACAUUAGGCACCUUCUUUCUCCCUUAGACGAGUAUCUUCUAAAACCUCAGUAGAGGGAAAAACUGAAAGUGGCAUUAAAGCAUUAGAAAAGUAAUAUAUCUGGGUUAUCUACUAGAUCAAAUAGCCACACUUCUGCACACCAUCUGAGAUGUACCCACUAGUCUGACACACACACAUAGUAACAGUAAGUGCAGCCUUUGGAACAGGGCAGUUCUAUUCCUGCUAAGGACUUCUUCCCUCAGACAAUGGUUCUUUUUGAGGAGUGACAUGAUCUACAGAUCCUGGGAGUCCACAUCUCCAGCCACCUGAUGCCAGGUGGCAAGAGGACUGUUUUGCAUCAGGAAAAAAUCCAACACAAAGCCAAAGACUUAGAAUUGAACCAUCGAGAAGCACUCCGUAAGAGGGACGCAGAUCAGAUUAUGAAGCAUGUUUUCCAGCCUUUUGUGAUCUCAGUAGCAACCUGAUUCACCUUUCAACAAAUUAUGACUUUCAAAGGAUUCUCCUAAUGUGUUACAGGCUCUUAUUUUUUUACCUACAUCAUGUGAUCUUGGCAGGUGGCCCAGCUCCAAUAGAUCUUAGGAAUAGAUGUAUAGGUUCUUCUCUCAGUUAUUUAAUCAAGACAGAAUCCCAAAGAAUUUGGAGUUUGACCUCCAUUAAAAGAAGCUUUUAAGUUGAGAGUUUGGAGUUGAAGGAAUUUUUUUGUAAGGAAUUGGAGAGUAUCAUGAAUAGGCUUAACUCUCUGGAAUUGUAUCAACUUCUAUAAAUGCCUUUAUUAGUGUGUUUCUUAAAAUGAAACCCUAUCACCAGCUGCACCUUGGCUUCCUCUGCCCUGUGGGACAGCCCCUUGUGUGGGUGCAUGUGGGUGCUUACUGCCCCUACUCUCACCAUGUCAUCUCCACCUCCUCCCGCUGCCCAUGACUGUUUUGUUUUUGGCAUUUUAAGCCUGGUUGGUCACUUCUGGCCAUACCUCAUCUGGCAUCUGGUAGCCAGCCGCAGCUGUGCACUUUGCCUAGCUACCCACUUCUUACCUUUAGGCAGGUAGGUGCUUUGUGCACUGAGGUCCCUGCUUUCCAAUGCAGCUUUCUCAUCUGGCUUUCUAGGAUCUGAAGAGCAUUUUUAGCCCCUCUAAGCUCUGUAUCCAUCUCCACAGUAGCAGUGGAGAAGGCACACAGGACCCACUGAGAAGACAAGUUAGCUUCACCCUCCCCUGUCCCAAGAAGGGAGAACUGAAAUACCUUAAUUGGAAACCAAGUUCACCAAAAGCUUCCUAAUGAAACUAUGGACUUUCCUGUUGAGCUGACCACACAGAUCACUAUCAGCUGAAAUGAGGAUGGCAUUUGUCACUUGGUGCUCCCAGCAGUCAAAGCAAAAUGUAUCUGCCUCCAGAGAUUCAGUAAGUAUUCCACCAGUUGCCUAAUGUUAUUCUUCAAAAUGCUGCUCUAUUUGGAAACUCCCAUUGGUUCCAAGAGGCAGAACAUUGAAGAAUCCCCUCUGCAGUCACCUGCAGAAUAUAUUCCACCAUAUCCCCAGCUGGGCCUUGAGCCCAGAGGAUUC